rnacentral:rRNA from 1 species
CCUACGGGUGGCAGCAGUGGGGGAUAUUGCACAAUGGGGGAAACCCUGAUGCAGCGACGCCGCGUGGGUGAAGAAGCGCCUCGGCGCGUAAAGCCCUGUCAGCAGGGAAGAAAAUGACGGUACCUGAAGAAGUAGCCCCGGCCAACUACGUGCCAGCAGCCGCGGUAAUACGUAGGGGGCAAGCGUUAUCCGGAUUUACUGGGUGUAAAGGGGGCGCAGACGGCGGUGCAAGCCAGGAGUGAAAGCCCGGGGCGCAACCCCGGGACUGCACUUGAAACUGCGUGGCGAGAGUGCAGGAGGGGCGGGCGGAAUUCCUGGUGUAGCGGUGAAAUGCGUAGAUAUCAGGAGGAACACCGGUGGCGAAGGCGGCCUGCUGGACUGCAACUGACGUUGAGGCGCGAAAGCGUGGGGAGCAAACAGGAUUAGAUACCCUUGUAGUC